AACGAACGCUGGCGGCAGGUCUUAGGCAUGCAAGUCGAACGGGUGUAGUAAUACACCAGUGGCGAACGAGUGGGUAACGCGUGGGAAUCUGCCCAUCUCUGGGGAAUAACGUUUGGAAACGAACGCUAAUACCGCAUACGCCCGCAAGGGGAAAGAUUUAUCGGGGAUGGAUGAGCCCGCGUUGGAUUAGUUAGUUGGUGGGGUAACGGCCUACCAAGGCGAUGAUCCAUAGCUGGGCUGAGAGGACGAUCAGCCACGCUGGAACUGAGAUACGGGCCAGACGCAUACGGGAGGCAGCAGCUAAGAAUAUUGGGCAAUGGAGGAAACUCUGACCCAGCCAUGCCGCGUGAAUGAAGAAGGCCUUCGGGUUGUAAAGUUCUUUUAGUCGUGACGAUGAUGACGGUAGCGACAGAAAAAGCACCGGCUAACUUCGUGCCAGCAGCCGCAGUAA
rnacentral:rRNA from 1 species